rnacentral:piRNA from 1 species
UGAGCAUGGUAUCGUGGAGUUCCCA